rnacentral:rRNA from 1 species
UACGAAGGGGGCUAGCGUUGCUCGGAAUGACUGGGCGUAAAGGGCGCGUAGGCGGUUCGGACAGUCAGAUGUGAAAUUCCUGGGCUUAACCUGGGGGCUGCAUUUGAUACGUGCGGGCUUGAGUGCGGAAGAGGGUCGUGGAAUUCCCAGUGUAGAGGUGAAAUUCGUAGAUAUUGGGAAGAACACCGGUGGCGAAGGCGGCCAACUGGGCUGUAACUGACGCUGAGGCGCGAAAGCGUGGGGAU